CGAACGAGUUCUCGUUGAUGAUCGGUGCUUGCACCGAGAUUCAACAUGGAACGAGUGGCGGACGGGUGAGUAACACGUGGGUAACCUGCCCUUAAGUGGGGGAUAACAUUUGGAAACAGAUGCUAAUACCGCAUAGAUCCAAGAACCGCAUGGUUCUUGGCUGAAAGAUGGCGUAAGCUAUCGCUUUUGGAUGGACCCGCGGCGUAUUAGCUAGUUGGUGAGGUAACGGCUCACCAAGGCGAUGAUACGUAGCCGAACUGAGAGGUUGAUCGGCCACAUUGGGACUGAGACACGGCCCAAACUCCUACGGGAGGCAGCAGUAGGGAAUCUUCCACAAUGGACGCAAGUCUGAUGGAGCAACGCCGCGUGAGUGAAGAAGGCUUUCGGGUCGUAAAACUCUGUUGUUGGAGAAGAAUGGUCGGCAGAGUAACUGUUGUCGGCGUGACGGUAUCCAACCAGAAAGCCACGGCUAACUACGUGCCAGCAGCCGCGGUAAUACGUAGGUGGCAAGCGUUAUCCGGAUUUAUUGGGCGUAAAGCGAGCGCAGGCGGUUUUUUAAGUCUGAUGUGAAAGCCCUCGGCUUAACCGAGGAAGCGCAUCGGAAACUGGGAAACUUGAGUGCAGAAGAGGACAGUGGAACUCCAUGUGUAGCGGUGAAAUGCGUAGAUAUAUGGAAGAACACCAGUGGCGAAGGCGGCUGUCUGGUCUGUAACUGACGCUGAGGCUCGAAAGCAUGGGUAGCGAACAGGAUUAGAUACCCUGGUAGUC
rnacentral:rRNA from 1 species